AAGAAAAUAAAUAUUUUUUUCCUUUUACUCUCUCUCUCUCUAUCCGUCUUCUUCCUUUCUCAUCUUCAACCUAACCUAUCACCUCCUCCUCUCUCUUCUCACAGGUAUCAUCUCCGGCGCACCUCCGCCCGACCUCGGUGAGGCAUUCUACCACAACCGAUGGACGAGAUUCCCACCGAAGCUUGUUCUCCCUCUCGAUCUCGCUUGAGUUCUCUCCACUCUCUCAAUCCCUCUCUUUCUGGAUCCACUCUCUUAGUCCCUCUCUUUCUCGAUUUCUCUCUGCUCGAAGCCGGACAGAGCAAUCGCACAAGAGGACAACAAGGUUGAGAUCGGGGCAUCUUGAUGGAUCUGGGAAGCUUGAGUGUUGGGGUUGCAAUCGCACAAGAGGAUGACGAUGAUGUUGCAAUCGCACAAGAGGACUGGAUGAUGUUUCUGUACAGUCAAGAAAAUCGCACAAGAGGACGGCAUUUGGAUGGAUCUGGGAUGCUUGAGUGCUGUUUUGGGAUAUUUGAGUAGAGUUUGUUAACCUUGAAUUGAAGUAGAAGAAAGCACUUUCACAGCUACUUGAGUAUUGUCAUCUAUCAAGCCAUGACAACAAAAACAGCCACUGCUAUCAACAAAGUCACAACCAAACCACCAAGUACUGAUGCUAAAAUUGGUUAGAUCAGUUUUCUCUUAGUGAGAAUGUUUGUGAAUGGUUUUGGCUGAGAAAUUUUUUUGAGAUUUUUGGUUGAAGACGAUGGUGAGGGAGAUGAAGAACACAAUGGAGAAGACGAUUUGAGGUUCUAAGUUUUGUUCUUUUCUGUGAUUUUAGCAGAUAUGGUAUGUGAAAUAGGGCUGUUGUUGCUGAGGAGGAAGAAGACGAUGACGAUGGGGGGUGUUCUCUCGUUUGCACCUCUAGUUCUCAGAAGACGAUGAUGAAGAAGACUAUGACUAUGUGUUUGUUAAUUGUGUAAUUUUUUUAUUUUAAAAAAUAAGUUUUAUUUAAUUUUUAAAUAUAUAAGAAUUAAUGAUAAAAAAUAUUGAUUAUAUUUAUUUUUGUUUAUUUUUAAUAUUUUUAAAAUCAUUU